rnacentral:rRNA from 1 species
AUUCAGCGGCGGACGGGUGAGUAACACGUGGGCAACCUGCCCUGUAGAUUGGGAUAACUCCGGGAAACCGGGGCUAAUACCGAAUAAUCCACCAGACCACAUGGUCCGGUGUUGAAAGGCGGCUUCGGCUGUCACUACAGGAUGGGCCCGCGGCGCAUUAGCUAGUUGGUGGGGUAACGGCCCACCAAGGCGACGAUGCGUAGCCGACCUGAGAGGGUGAUCGGCCACACUGGGACUGAGACACGGCCCAGACUCCUACGGGAGGCAGCAGUAGGGAAUCUUCCACAAUGGACGAAAGUCUGAUGGAGCAACGCCGCGUGAGUGAAGAAGGUUCUCGGAUCGUAAAACUCUGUUGUGAGGGAAGAACAAGUACCGGAGUAACUGCCGGUACCUUGACGGUACCUCAUUAGAAAGCCACGGCUAACUACGUGCCAGCAGCCGCGGUAAUACGUAGGUGGCAAGCGUUGUCCGGAAUCAUUGGGCGUAAAGCGCGCGCAGGCGGUCCCUUAAGUCUGAUGUGAAAGCCCACGGCUCAACCGUGGAGGGUCAUUGGAAACUGGGGGACUUGAGUGCAGAAGAGGAAAGCGGAAUUCCAAGUGU